rnacentral:lncRNA from 1 species
CAGACUUGUAGGAAACCAGCACGCAGAGAAGAAAUGAACAGAUAUGUUUAGGGAUUCAACAGCGCGCCAGGAGAAUUAUUCUUUUACUUUGUUAUCAUUGUCUUUAUAACAUCCGAUAUUUGAUGCCUCGAUCAACUUCCCACUGGUUAGGAUUUACCAGGUUUCCAUUCUAUUUGAUUGUAUGGGGUUGCUUUUUCUUCCCAGAGCACUGACUACCAAAGACUGGCUCAGAGGACCUUCCACCCGAAUGGCCUAAGAUGUUUACAGAACACACUCCAG